ACAUGAAAGACUAGGUAAUAAACAAUAACAAGGACAUACAACCAAUGCGUGUGCUCUGCCAGCAGCCAGGUGGAGCCAUCAUGACUUUAUAGUCCAAGACCAGAGAGAUGACAAUGAGGAUCUUCAGAGGACAAAAGCUCACCAGUGAGCUUCUCGGUGAUGCUGGAGCCCAUCUGACUAAUAAUAAUACAGGAUGUAUUGCUUUUGUGAGAGGAGUGAUCUCUGGGCCCUCUCCAGGACCAUACUCAGCUGGGUUAUGGUAA
rnacentral:lncRNA from 1 species